CGCAAUUUAAUUUCCUGAUUUUCAAAUUUACUUGAAGUAGUUGAAUAAGGAAUUAACUUAGCUUUACAUAUUCGCUGUGAUUUAAUUUAAACAUAUUUAUUUAUAGUGGAUUGGGAAACUUAUAUUAAUCCCUUUCAACUUUGCUGGUGCUAGUGCUGCCUUGUAGCAGCAUUAGCCUACUCUUUUUCGAAAUCUACAAGGGUGUCUUUAAUGUGCAAGAGAUGUGACUCUCUCUUAACACGUGUCAGCCAUUCAUUGUCCCCUUCCAAUGAACUUUCAUCAUUUCCUCAAGACAAUACACCCAAUGGUGUCAAAGGAGAGCUGAAAAUUCAGUCCCUGAAAUUUUCAUCCUGAAAUGGGAAUCGAACCAGGAACUUUUGUGUUAAUAGUCUGAUGCACUAACCACUACACCACGGCUCUCUGAUUUAUAUUCCAGUUAUUUUUCUACGGGCAAAAGUCGCGAAAAAUAAGUUGGUUUACAGUAAAUUAUUUAUCUCGAAAGC
rnacentral:lncRNA from 1 species